rnacentral:rRNA from 1 species
GACGAACGCUGGCGGCGUGCCUAAUACAUGCAAGUAGAACGCUGAAGGAGGAGCUUGCUUCUCUGGAUGAGUUGCGAACGGGUGAGUAACGCGUAGGUAACCUGCCUGGUAGCGGGGGAUAUCUAUUUGAAACGAUAGCUAAUACCGCAUAAGAGUAGAUGUUGCAUGACAUUUGCUUAAAAGGUGCAAUUGCAUCACUACCAGAUGGACCUGCGUUGUAUUAGCUAGUUGGUGGGGUAACGGCUCACCAAGGCGACGAUACAUAGCCGACCUGAGAGGGUGAUCGGCCACACUGGGACUGAGAAACGGCCCAGACUCCUACGGGAGGCAGCAGUAGGGAAUCUUCGGCAAUGGACGGAAGUCUGACCUAGCAACGCCGCGUGAGUGAAGAAGGUUUUCGGAUCGUAAAGCUCUGUUGUAAGAGAAGAACGAGUGUGAGAGUGGAAAGUUCACACUGGGACGGUAUCUUACCAGAAAGGGACGGCUAACUACGU